AAACUCCUGCCUGGUGCGUGGACUGUUGCAUCAAUAACCCUACAACUCUCUUUUCGGGAGCUUGUCUCCGGCAGCGGAAUGCAGACCUCCCAGCACGGUUUUCUGUGUUGGAAGAAGGGAGCUGGAACCUGUUGGGCGGGCACCCACCUGUUUACUUCCGUAGGCAGGUUAUUUAUUGCACUUACGGCCAGGCGGGUCUCUU
rnacentral:other from 1 species